UACAGAGGGUGCAAGCGUUAAUCGGAAUUACUGGGCGUAAAGGGCGCGUAGGCGGUUAGAUAAGCUAGAUGUGAAAUAACUGGGCUUAACCUGGUAGAGCAUAUAGGACUGUUUUGACUAGAGAGGGGGUAGAGGUGAGCGGAAUUUUCCGGAUGUAGCGGUGAAAAUGCGUAGAUAUCGGAAAGGAACAUCAGUGGCGAAAAGCGGCUUCCUGGACCAGAACUGACGAUCAGGCACGAAAAGCGUGGGGGAGCAAACAGG
rnacentral:rRNA from 1 species